AAAUAGAUACCCGGGUAGUCCACGCCGUAAACGAUGAGUGCUAAGUGUUAGGGGGUUUCCGCCCCUUAGUGCUGCAGCUAACGCAUUAAGCACUCCGCCUGGGGAGUACGGUCGCAAGACUGAAACUCAAAGGAAUUGACGGGGGCCCGCACAAGCGGUGGAGCAUGUGGUUUAAUUCGAAGCAACGCGAAGAACCUUACCAGGUCUUGACAUCCCAUUGACCGCUAUGGAGACAUGGCUUUCCCUUCGGGGACAGUGGUGACAGGUGGUGCAUGGUUGUCGUCAGCUCGUGUCGUGAGAUGUUGGGUUAAGUCCCGCAACGAGCGCAACCCUUGUUCUUAGUUGCCAUCAUUUAGUUGGGCACUCUAAGGAGACUGCCGGUGACAAACCGGAGGAAGGUGGGGAUGACGGUCAAAUCAUCAUGCCCCUUAUGACCUGGGCUACACACGUGCUACAAUGGACGGUACAAACGGUUGCCAACCCGCGAGGGGAGCUAAUCCGAUAAAACCGUUCUCAGUUCGGAUUGUAGGCUGCAACUCGCCUAC
rnacentral:rRNA from 1 species